rnacentral:rRNA from 1 species
GUGCCAGCCGCCGCGGUAAUACGGAGGAUACGAGCGUUAUCCGGAUUUAUUGGGUUUAAAGGGUGCGCAGGUGGUCUUGCAAGUCAGUGGUGAAAAGCUGAGGCUCAACCUCAGCCUUGCCGUUGAAACUGCAAGACUUGAGAGUACAUGAUGUGGGCGGAAUGCGUAGUGUAGCGGUGAAAUGCAUAGAUAUUACGCAGAACUCCGAUUGCGAAGGCAGCUCACAAAGGUAUAUCUGACACUGAGGCACGAAAGCGUGGGGAGCGAACAGGAUUAGAUACCCUGGUAGUCCACGCCGUAAACGAUGAUUACUCGAAGUAUGCGAUAUGACAGUAUGCUUCCAAGCGAAAGUGAUAAGUAAUCCACCUGGGGAGUACGCCGGCAACGGUGAAACUCAAAGGAAUUGACGG